CGUAGGAGGCAAGCGUUAUCCGGAUUCACUGGGCGUAAAGCGCGUGCAGGUGGCGCGGUAAGUUGGGCGUGAAAUCUCCCGGCUCAACUGGGAGAGGUCGUUCAAUACUACCGUGCUUGAGGGCAGAAGAGGAAGAUGGAAUUCCCGGUGUAGUGGUGAAAUGCGUAGAUAUCGGGAGGAACACCAGUGGCGAAGGCGAUCUUCUGGUCUGUUUCUGACACUCAGACGCGACAGCUAGGGUAGUAAACGGGAUUAGAGACCCCGGUAAUCCUAGCCGUAAACGAUGUGAACUUGGCGUUGGUGGGUUAAACUCCAUCAGUGCCGAAGCAAACGCGAUAAGUUCACCGCCUGGGGACUACGGCCGCAAGGUUA
rnacentral:rRNA from 1 species